rnacentral:lncRNA from 1 species
AGUGCCAGCAACUGGGCACUGUCCUCAUGGAAACCAAGCACCUCAAACCCAGUUGGCCCCAGUGCCAGGAACCGAGCACUAUUGUCAUGUAGACCAAGCACCUCGAACCCAGCCGGCCCCAGUGUUAGGAACCGGGUACUGUCGUCAUCAGCAUCAGGGUCAACCUCUGGACCCUGGCUUCCUCAGCAUUAACAGGAAAGGUUAGAAGCCCUGUUAGGUCUCUUCCAACUUUGUCUAUAACUCUGAAAAAGCAACGUGGAGUUUCUCUGGCACACUCUUUGAGGAAAUAGAAUUCGCCAAACCAAUGCAAAUGGAGAAAUAUAUUUCACCUGAGUAGGGAAGAAAAACCUUGUAAAGGCUUCCAAGAACCUCCAGAAACCUACUGGAUGAGCUUACCACUAAUCUCUUUUAAAGCAAUUCCCUGACAACACUCUGUUAAUCUCUCCUGAGCUCCUUAGUACCCCCUGAAAGUAGCAGGACAGCCUUACUUUCCAAAUCUUCACCUUUGCAAGAGUCUAGUCUGUGAGUCCAGGCUCACCUGAAGUCUGAGAUUUUGGGAGCUUUGGAGAAUUCUGGAUAAAAUCCCUUACUGGACUUAGCAGGAAUCUCCGAUCUGUGGAGAAGUCUCCUCAGAGACUGAGCAUCUGUUCCUAGCUCCCUCCGGGCUCUGAUGCCAUUAAUGACUGCAGGAAGCUGUUCCAGGCCUCAAUACAGAAAGAACCCUUAGACCCUCAGAGCUGGAGUUUUAUCUCCUAGGGUUAUGGUGAAUACCUAGGGCAGGACCGGGCACUUAGAAAGCUCUCAUCCAAUGUCCCCUAACUCUUGGAGACAAUAAUCAAGACUUAGAGGAACUGACUGGGGGAAACGUCAACACUUUCUUGGUUCUCUCAGAGGCCGGUGGAGACGCUGCUCCAUUCUGCCUGGAUCAUUUCCCAGGGCAGACUUUCUGAGCUGAACUGGGUUCUCGGUGAUUCCAACUCACUCCCCACAGACUUACCCGGCACUGAGUGCAGGCCUGGAGGGAGACACUUCACUUAGAUCCUUUCACCGGAUGGCAUGAUAAUGCUGUGGGAAGGUACAGAUGAGGAAACCAAGGCUCAUGGAAGUUGCGUGAAUUGCUCCAGGUCACAAGGCUUUUGACCUCCAGUCCAGCGUCCUUCCUGCGUUCCCCCAUUGGCAAGGUUUGCCAACAGGGUGGGCCCAGCUGCUCCCAGCACAGCUGGCCCUGGAGAGCACUUUGCAGGGACAGAGUCAGCCACGUGAGAAAGGACUUGGCAUACUGUAGGAUUUAAGGGUUCUAAUCAGGGCUUCCCAGCAAAUUCUGUUGGGCCAAUGUGGACCUCUCAAGUAUGAGGUUGGACCAUAUAAAACUGCAAUUCUGUAGAUCAAAAA